CAAAACCAAUAGCUUCACAUACUCCUCAAUAGUGAGAAAAAUUCUUACCAAAGCCAUAUAUGUAAUCAUACAUGCUAAAAGCUUCUACACAUACACUGCUUGUUAUUGCUUUGAGUUUGGUCAAGUAUUUUUGACCCUCAUUGAGAAAUUUAUCAUGCUCCCAAGAUCAAAGAUCACAUACACACCACCAAAAAUAUGUUAUGCUCCUACAGUAGAAGUAAGCAAAAACAUGCCUUUCAUGUCCACCAAAUAAAUACUACAAUGUUUCUAAGAUGUGAUCUCUCUCUAAUGUUCUUGCAAAAGAAAUAUGGGCUAUGCAAAGGUAUUGAAAAAAUAAAAAGAAAAAUGGAUACAUGAAGGUCCAAGUAUAGAAAAAUGAAAAUUAUGAGAACAUGAAGGUGUUGACACCGUUUUUGGGCACGUGUCUAGGAUGGCAGGAUAAGGUGGCAGUACGAUGUUUACAAAGUGGGUUGCCGAUGAGGAUGGUUGCCGAUGAGGGAGAAGUUGAACGUGACUAAGUCCACAGGCAGUAAUAUUGUGUCGAUGGCUAGAUAAGAAAGUCUGCCGAUGACUAUGGCAAAGGGUCUGCCGAUGAUGCAAAGAGGG
rnacentral:lncRNA from 1 species